GGAAGUUAAAAAACUGUUUCUUAACUUUUAACUAAAAAAGUUAAGAACUGGUUCUUAAAUAAGGACUUUAAGAACCGGUUCUUAGGUUUUUUAGUUAAAAGUUAAGAAACAGUUUCUUAGCUUCC
rfam:Brassica oleracea var. oleracea cultivar TO1000 chromosome C7, whole genome shotgun sequence